rnacentral:rRNA from 1 species
UACGUAGGGCGCAAGCGUUGUCCGGAAUUAUUGGGCGUAAAGAGCUCGUAGGCGGUCUGUCGCGUCGGCUGUGAAAACCCGGGGCUCAACCCCGGGCCUGCAGUCGAUACGGGCAGACUAGAGUGUGGUAGGGGAGACUGGAAUUCCUGGUGUAGCGGUGAAAUGCGCAGAUAUCAGGAAGAACACCCGUGGCUAAGGCGGCUCUCUAGUACGGUACUGACGCUGAGACGCGAAAGCGUGGGGAGCGAACAGG